CGACCGGCGCACGGGUGAGUAACGCGUAUGCAACCUGCCCGUUUCAGCGGGAUAACCCGGAGAAAUCCGGCCUAAUACCGCAUGUGGCCGAGGGGAGGCAUCUUCUUUCGGCCAAAGGAGGCGACUCCGGAGACGGAUGGGCAUGCGUGACAUUAGCUUGUUGGCGGGGUAACGGCCCACCAUGGCGACGAUGCGUAGGGGUUCUGAGAGGAAGGCCCCCCACACUGGGACUGAGACACGGCCCAGACUCCUACGGAAGGCAGCAG
rnacentral:rRNA from 1 species